CUCGUGGCUCCACACUGUUAACCUUUGCUGUAUUUUUCACAGUAAAAUACCACAAAAUGCCCAGUAACUUACCUGAAAACAUUUCUACAGUUAAUUACUGUAAUUUGCUAUGCAUUAUGGGUAUAUUAAGGUUAUUUACAGUAACUUACUGUAUUUUUUAAAAUUGCGGUAGUAGUUAUACCUACCGUUAACACAUUAGCAGUAGUGCUACUGUAUUAUGUGAUUUGAAUGGUUCAUCAUACUGUUUGUGUAUUUUUACUCUUUCAGUGGUUGGUUGCAAUAGUGCAUUACAUUUUAACUCUUUCACUGCUAACCAUUUCCAGAUUUUCCUCCAACCUAUGCCAUUUGUCAGUAUGAUACCAGUGAAAGUAUUAUGGUUUUGACUUUUUAGGGGACUUGCCUGUGUGUAAGGUUCAAGAAUUCUGAUCAUCUAAUCUGCUGCAUGCAGUUGUAUGCACAUGCACAGCUGCUGCAAAUGUGUGCUUGCCACUGCGUUGCCAUAGAGAUCAAUUCAAGUGACAGCUGCUCCUGGGGAGAGGGAAAAGAAUGCAGAAAGGCCUCCUUGUAGGGAAAUUUUAUAAAGCAAGGUUCUCCAAAUCUCUCCCAAAAUUCUGUGUUUUCUUAAUUGACUUCCAUUCAUAUGUAAAGACUAUAGGGUUAACUACAAAUAAAAAAAGCAGAAUUCACAUUGUUGCAUCUCCAUCACUUAUCUCUGAUUAACCCUGAACAAGAUUCACACUUCCUUUUGUUAAUUUUUUAACUUGCCACUAUUCUGUUGUUGGAUUUCACUUAGGUUGUUGCUGCUGUCUGUUUUUGUGUAAUUUUGUACUUGUGACAAGUAGUGAAUAAAGUUAUUUAAAAAAGACGCAGAAAGGCGAACUUUAGUCAGUGGAGAAUAUUGUAAUAAUUUGGCGGAGGCUUCUCAGUCGAGCAGUAACUGAAUUGCUCAUUUACUGAACGUGCAACAUGUACAGAACUCUUCUGGGAACUAGUCAACCCAACUUAGUGAAACACACACUGAAUGCAUGCUGACCCCGCCCACCCACCUACCUCUACCAACCACCACUCCAUAUCCUGACUGACAUGACCUGUGAUCCAGUGAUUGACAGGAGAGGAAAGACUGGCCAACUUUGUUAGCUCUUCGUUAGGAUAUGCUCGAGAGGACAAAAGAUUUUGCACCUCGUUAUUGUUGGACCUCUGUGUGGAAACAGCGAACGGGACGUCAUAAGUGUGGUGCAUUGCUGUCCUCCUGCCCUUGCUGGCCGCGCUGACAGUGUGAUGUAGCCUCAGUUCUUUGAGAGACAAGACAAAACA